rnacentral:tRNA from 1 species
UCCCUUGUAGCUCAGCUGGUAAAGAAUCUGCCUGCAAUGCAAGAGACCCUGGUUCGAUUCCUGGGUAGGGAA